rnacentral:rRNA from 1 species
UACGUAGGGCGCAAGCGUUAUCCGGAAUUAUUGGGCGUAAAGAGCUCGUAGGCGGUUUGUCGCGUCUGCCGUGAAAGUCCGGGGCUCAACUCCGGAUCUGCGGUGGGUACGGGCAGACUAGAGUGAUGUAGGGGAGACUGGAAUUCCUGGUGUAGCGGUGAAAUGCGCAGAGAUCAGGAAGAACACCCGUGGCGAAGGCGGCUCUCUGGGACGGUACUGACGCUGAGACGCGAAAGCGUGGGGAGCGAACAGG